rnacentral:rRNA from 1 species
AAUUGCUCACGAAUGGCAAGCGUUGUCCGGAAUUAUUGGGCGUAAAGCGCGCGCAGGCGGUUCUUUAAGUCUGAUGUGAAAGCCCACGGCUCAACCGUGGAGGGUCAUUGGAAACUGGAGAACUUGAGUACAGAAGAGGAAAGCGGAAUUCCACGUGUAGCGGUGAAAUGCGUAGAGAUGUGGAGGAACACCAGUGGCGA